UGACAAGUGGUGCCAUGUCUGUGCCCAGGAUCUGAACCCGCGAACCCUGGGCUGCCGAAGCAGAACGGGUGAAUUUAACCGCUGCGCCAUGGGACCUGCCCCUGGAAUG